UUUUUAUGGAGAGUUUGAUCCUGGCUCAGGACGAACGCUGGCGGCGUGCUUAACACAUGCAAGUGGGACGAAGGUUCUUGUCGGAAGGUUUCGGCUGGAAGAUAAGGAUACUGAGUCGCGGACGGGUGAGUAAUGCGUGAGAACCUGUCUCAAAGAGGGGGACAGCCCCGGGAAACCGGGAUUAAUACCCCAUAUGCCUAAGGGUGAAACGGAGCAAUCCGCUUUGAGAGGGGCUCGCGUCCUAUCAGCUAGUUGGUGAGGUAAUGGCUCACCAAGGCAAAGACGGGUAGCCGGACUGAGAGGUUGGACGGCC
rnacentral:rRNA from 1 species